GAUGAAGAACGUAGCGAAAUGCGAUAAGUAGUGUGAAUUGCAGAAUUCAGUGAAUCAUCGAAUCUUUGAACGCACAUUGCGCCCCUUGGUAUUCCAUGGGGCAUGCCUGUUCGAGCGUCAUUUGUACCCUCAAGCUUUGCUUGGUGUUGGGCGUCUUGUCGUAUUACGACUCGCCUUAAAUACAUUGGCAGCCGGCACUUUGGCCUAGGAGCGCAGCACAUUUUGCGAUCGUAGCCCGUUGUACUGGCGUCCAUCAAGAACAUUUACCACGUUUGACCUCGGAUCAGGUAGGGAUACCCGCUGAACUUAAGCAUAUCAAUAGCGGAGA
rnacentral:misc_RNA from 1 species